AGAGUUGAUCAGUGGCUCAGGACGAACGCUGGCGGCGUGCUUAACACAUGCAAGUCGAACGGGGAUAAUUGGAAAGGUUCGGCCCGGAAGGAUAAUCGAGUGGCGGACGGGUGAGUAACGCGUGAGCAACCUGUCCCAGACAGGGGGAUAACACUUGGAAACAGGUGCUAAUACCGCAUAAGACCACGGGGUCACAUGGCCUUGGGGUAAAAGGAGCAAUCCGGUUUGGGGUGGGCUCGCGUCCGAUUAGAUAGUUGGUGAGGUAACGGCCCACCAAGUCAACGAUCGGUAGCCGACCUGAGAGGGUGAUCGGCCACAUUGGAACUGAGAGACGGUCCAAACUCCUACGGGAGGCAGCAGUGGGGAAUAUUGGGCAAUGGGCGAAAGCCCUGACCCAGCAACGCCGCGUGAGUGAAGAAGGCCUUCGGGUUGUAAAGCUCUGUUAUAGGGGACGAAGGAAGUGACGGUACCCUAUAAGGAAGCCCCGGCUAACUACGUGCCAGCAGCUGC
rnacentral:rRNA from 1 species